GUCUGUAGUUUGCAUUGCACAACACCAGCUUGGAAAUUAUAAUUACAGUGCCAGUGAAAAUGCUGUCGUUAUAUAAUUGCUUUCCACAUUCGAGUUCGCAAACAAUUCAGCAGGUAAUUGCAGAAACUGGUGUGAGCUAAUGAGAGAGGUUCUUGUCGGUGCUGAGCCCAGCCUGCAGUAAUCACAAGUGGAAUGCUGUCGGUCCAUCGGAGGUGGGACAAUGUGGAAGAGCAAACAACAGACACUUCGGUAAAUGCAGGUGCGUCAUCUGGAGGAUCGGGGAAUUCAAGGGAAAAGGAGAAGUGAAUUUGCUGCAGGAAAAUUGGGUUCCAAGUGCAAGGGGAAACCAAUGCCUGCUGCAUCCACGAGCUCUAGCUUUUUAUGCUGCCAUCGAGGUGUGUCUGUCUGAUGUGCCCAAAUGAAGAGGUACUAGAUGGACACGGCUGUCCACGCUGCAGUUUGGAAUUAUACAAUAUCAGAAAGUUGCUCCCUGAAGUCAAAUAGGAUAUGUGGGUGCCUAACAUUACCAACAAUAGGAUUUCAGCUGCUGCAGAGUUCCGGAUGACAUAAAAGGGCUGCCUGCCAUGUAAUUUCUCUAAGCCUUUUGACAUUUUCCAUAAGGAUGGUGAGAAGUAAGAACUCCUUGCUUCCAGUGCUGCUCUCAUCUUGUAACUGAGGGCCAGGUUCAGCUGGAGUCACUGGCAGCACCCAGUAGUGGACGGUUAUGGACAGUUAUUGGGGCCAUCACUGACACCUGCCCUCAGUCCACCUUUAAAGCAUUAUCCCCGUCCUCUAAACCACACCAGGUAGAUGGGUCAAGUCACUAUUUCAAUUUCCCACAAUACCCCAGGCAUAGAGUUGUUUGGGGCAUUGUGGGAAAUCUAAAUGCUGCUACCUGGAGCUCCUCAGAGCACUCUUUAUCACUGACCACCACCCAGAAAGCCCAACAGGGCCCAGCAAUGGAGGAGGAGGACCACCUAUGGAGGAAAGAGGCCAUAAAAGGACACAUUGUCCAGGGCCCCAUUGAACCUGGAGCUGGCCCUGGGCUCAGCAAUAAGAACAUAGGGACUCUUUGUUCCACCUCCGUUCCUGCACAUUCCUAGAGCAAUGACCCUGGAAAGCUUACAAGUAAGACGUUGGAGACAGCUAUGCACACAGCCAGCAGACAUAUAUGAGGAUUGGCGUCCUGGAAGCAUCCCUAUAUCAAUAUAAAGAUGGUUCAGACGGCCUCCCUAUCAAUGAUAAACCUAAACCUUGGAAUGGUUCCACACACUUUAUUCAUCUAAAGGGAAAACUUUUUUUAAAGAAACCUAGCAUAGCACAGUGUGGAUGUGCUGAGAAUCAGUUCAGCCACAUGACCAGGAACUCUGAUAAGGUAAGUCUAGAUGUUGAUGUAGAAACCAGAAAAUGGUGACAUCACUGCCACUUUCCACAGGAGUGAAACCCUAUUGUUCAGCUGCAGUCAGCGACAGCCAUCCUUCUCCAGUGACUCCGUUGUCAUCAUGUAGCAGAAAUGUAAAGGAAGCAGAGGCAGUCAUGCUAACCUGGUGGCCAUGCUUCCACCUCAGGCCCUGCACUGAGGAGAACCCCUGCCUUGUUUCAUCAAAGGAGAACUGGUGUCGUAAAUGUUUCCUGAGGUUACUGAGAGGGCAACGGUUGUGUCAUCACAACCACUUGAUUCCUGACCUUCUCGUACCUGAACUGAGGCCCAGCUUCUGACGGUUAUUCUGUGGUUUUUGUGGCUUUGCUAAGACAUUGCCAUGACAGUGAACAUGAAGCUGGGCGCAAACAGGAUAUGACGCUGCUACUUUCAUAUGUUCCUCAUCAUGCAGAAUCUUGGUCCAUGGGCCUGGGUUCCUCAUGUGAGGGGACUGGGGAAGCAGUCUGAACUGAAACCACACAUAUGGAGCAAAACAAGUACACUGCACAACACGUUUCCCUGACACCACAAUGUGAACAUUGUGUAUGGUCACCCAAAGGGAGAAAGUCAGCCAGAGGGCACUGGAAAGAAUGUCUCACCUCAGUCUCUUGAGGGGUUGAGGGUGGAGGUUAAGAAAUGUGUUCAUCAACUUCCUCACUCACAUAGAAAACAGAGCUAGGGAUAGGGAUGUUGUCUUGCUUGCAAUUGGCACUGAAUUUUUUAUCUCAAGAAAUACCCUGGAGUGACUCUGGAGGUUCCUCGAGGAAUGGGAAAGCCAAACAUUUUACUGAAAUUGGGUAAUUUCUCUGGAGGGUUUCAUACAUCUGAUAGCCUUUUGCAUUUCUGGUUUAGCUGAGAGAAUAAGAUGGAUCUACAAAAAAAAAGACAUGCUGUAACCUCAGGAAAUCAGCCAUGUAAGCUGCAGACACCAGUGCUGGAUUCUAUUAGCUGUGUGGAAAAUUUACGGGGAGUAACGUGAGUUGAUGCUUCACCACAAGUUGGCAGUGAAACUGCACCCCUAAUACUUGCAAGUAAUCUGGUUGAGUCAUUACAGCAGGGGAAGCCAAAAUGGCACCCUCCAGGUGUGUUGGACUCCAGAUACCAUUAACCCUAGCCAGCAUGGCCAGUGGUCAGGGAUUAUGGGAGUUGUAGUCCAACAACAUCCAGAGAGCACUAACUUGGCUAUCCCUGAGUUAGAGAAACCAAUAUGGUGCCUAUGGGUGACUAUAUGAAAUAUCUUUUCUUCAAAGGGUGCGGCAAACCUCAAACUGCAGAUUGUUCAUGUCCAGGCAUGACUACGUUCCCUGGAUCAACUGUCUGCAUGGAGCUUGCCCUGUUCUGUGUGUUUUGCUGCCAGUUUUCAGACCUACCCUUCACACACUCCCUAAAGACAGUUGCAUGGCUUUGUUCAGCUUUUGCUCACCAAUGGGCGUAUGUGAAGGAUGCCAUGUCUCAUCAAGUGUACAGAUAAAUCAUCUGAAGCCUCUAGUUCUCCCACAGAUAAAUGGAGAUCAGGAAUAAACGUAUGGGAAUAAGAGCCUCAGCAAGGUAGAGGUUGCCAAGUCAGCCUGCCACAUUUCUAAACCCCGCUCAGAAUAACAUGCAGGCAGCAUUUUAGGUUAUGGUGUGCCAGCCACUGUUCAGGUUUGCAAUAUGAGGAAUACAGGAAGCUGCUUAAUACCACAUCUGUCAAAUUCUUCGUCUUGGUAGAGGCUGGUGCUCAUGGGACUGAUUAGGGCAGAAGUUAGAGGAAUGAAAAGUAAGGGCUGCCAGAGCAAAUGGCUGGUGGAGCCAGGGUCAGUGGCAGAUGGAGCCAACGAAUUCUGGUUUUGUCCCCAUCCUGCUCCUUGCUGAGUUUUACAAGGGCAGCACCAAGGAGAGGUGUACACCAUGCAUCACCACAUUUGGAGUGACUUCUUUUUGAUACAGGUAUGGCCCAGUCGUGGAAUUUAGAGUGUUUCCUUAUAGAUCAACUUGUCCAGCUUUGCUGUUGUUUAGACUUACAUAAACUCUAAACUGACACCAGGAAGAUUCAUACCUAUGCUUACUCAUGACUCUGUUGUGACAAGCCAAACCUUUCCCUAAGUAGUUCACCUAACUGUGUCUGACUCACAAGUAGACAUGGGAGAGGAGAAGUUCUCUGCUUAGUCCAUCAGCCCAAGAGGAGAGACAGAAGCUGCUUGUUCUCUACACCACCCUUGUGCUGAGAGGGAAAAGUGAAUUAGCUUGUUUUGCUGCCCAGAUUGACAGAACAAGAAAAACCCUAUAAAGGUUUAACUACCUCAGAAUAUUAGUUACAGAUUUAUAGCUGUCUUUCAUCAUAGAGUUCUCUGGCAAAAGACAAAAAAGAUCUACAAAAAAUCAAGAGAACCCUUAAUGUUGCUAAUGUCCAUUGAAGCAGGGAAGGUCUCUCACAUUCACACAUAACACUUCAAACUGACCUGGCUUCUCCCAGAGAAUUAUGGGAGCUGUAGUUUGUUAAGGCUGCUGAUCAUUUUUGGAGACCCCUCCCAGAGCAUACAAUUCUCAGAUUUGUGCAACAAUCAAGCCCCCUUCCAUGGAACUCUGGGAAUAGGGGAGUAGGGGUCCCAUAACAACUCUUAGCACCCAUAACAAACUACAGCUCCCAUAAUUCUUUGGGGUAAACCAUGGCUGUUUAAAGUGGCAUUGUAAUGCUUUAAAUAUAUGGUGCAAAUGUGGCCUCUUGGAAAUAAUGUGAUUCUACGUUCCUCUUACACAGAAUCUUAUGCUGAAAACUACAAGAAUAUGAGGGGAGGGGAGAAUAUUAGGCAGAACCGCUUGUGAAGAGCAUUAGAAUUCAGACCUACAAUUACUACUAUCAUGUCAAUUUGAAGCUCAAAGAGAACCCCCCCCCUCCACUCCUCCCUCAAGUGGGUCACUGAACGGAGCUCUGAGGGUCAGGCAGGACAAUUGCAGGUGGCCAAUCCCGUGGUCCACCCAUGUGCCUUGUAGCUUAAAGGCUCAUUAGAUGAAACCCAACGAGACCUCCGUGCCAGCAGCACUAAUACACGCUCCCGUUUUAGCCCUGCUGGCUCAGGGCACAGCCUGCCAGUUUAAUUGAAUCUGGAAGGAAAUAAUACACAGAGGAUUGGGGAUAAAAACUAAUGAAACACUAAAGUGAAUUAAAAAUAAAUAAAUCCAAAAGGAUUAAUGUACAAUAGCAAACCAGGGGCUCCAGGAACUAAGCUUCAGGGUUUAGCAUGAGCUUUUGUAAGAAAGAAAGGGGAGGUGAACAGUGUGUGCGAAACCGAGUAGCGAGACAACUGGCAGGAUAAAGCUGACCAGUCACCAUGUGACUGCCUCCAUCACCUGAGCAUUUGUCUUCCCAGGCACACCUUAGCAUCAAAGCCCUUGCCCUUUAAAGAAGCAACACCAUCAAGCUGUCAUAUGUCAACCUACUAGAAUCUAGCAAGGCCAGAUCAAUCAUAUUGGAAGAUUAGGUAGCUGCCCAUGUCAGCGCAGUUUCUGAGAUGUCUGCUUUGCCAUUGGGCCAGACCCACACUUGUUUUCUGGCAUGGCCCCACGGCACACACACACACACCCCUCCACGAAACACCCCAGAACCCUCCAUGUGCAUGGUUGUACUCUGGCCUCCCCUGUUAAGUGUAGGAAAUAGAUGAGCCAUCUUUUCCAUUUAUAUGCUUGUUCAGUAUAACAAACAUUUGGUUAUUCAGGCAGAGAAACUUGCACAAGGGGACUUCUUGGCAGACUGAGCAGAUGAAAAUGAAUUUGUACUUGUGUUACACAUUCUGUAAAUGUUUUUUCACAUUUAGCAGAAUGUUUACAUAAGUGAAUCAAUCAGAAACCUACAAAUGAAACAUCUGGAUUUUCAAAAUCAUACAUUUUCCUUAUCCUGUGAGGGCUGUUUCGCCUCAUGUGGCGUGUGAUACUGUUGGGAGGUUUUUACAAGUUGGACAAAACUGACACAAGCCAUGGUGACUUCAUCUGUCUUUUCUGCAUUUUCCUGUAUAUGCUUUGAAAAAACAAAACUCCUUCUCUACAAAUUCAACAUGGAAACUUAAAAAGAUACAACAAAAUGAUAUAAAAUUAACCAAAGCACCAUAAGAUGAUAACUAAAAACCAAUAAAUGUUAAGCAGCUGCUUGUUAGGCCUGGCC